AUUGAACGCUGGCGGCAUGCCUUACACAUGCAAGUCGAACGGCAGCACGGGGCAACCUGGUGGCGAGUGGCGAACGGGUGAGUAAUGCAUCGGAACGUACCUUUCAGUGGGGGAUAACGUAGCGAAAGUUACGCUAAUACCGCAUAUUCUGUGAGCAGGAAAGCAGGGGAUCGCAAGACCUUGCGCUGAUUGAGCGGCCGAUGUCAGAUUAGCUAGUUGGUGAGGUAAAGGCUCACCAAGGCGACGAUCUGUAGCGGGGCUGAGAGGAUGAUCCGACACACUGGAACUGAGACGCGGUCCAGACUCCUACGGGAGGCAGCAGUGGGGAAUUUUGGACAAUGGGGGCAACCCUGAUCCAGCCAUGCCGCGUGAGUGAAGAAGGCCUUCGGGUUGUAAGGCUCUUUCGGCCGGGAAGAAAUCGCACGGGCUAAUACCCUGUGUGGAUGACGGUACCGGAAUAAGAAGCACCGGCUAACUACGUGCCAGCCGCCGCGGUAACAC
rnacentral:rRNA from 1 species